rnacentral:rRNA from 1 species
CAUGCAGUCGAGCGGUAGCACAGAGAGCUUGCUCUCGGGUGACGAGCGGCGGACGGGUGAGUAAUGUCUGGGAAACUGCCUGAUGGAGGGGGAUAACUACUGGAAACGGUAGCUAAUACCGCAUAACGUCGCAAGACCAAAGUGGGGGACCUUCGGGCCUCAUGCCAUCAGAUGUGCCCAGAUGGGAUUAGCUAGUAGGUGGGGUAACGGCUCACCUAGGCGACGAUCCCUAGCUGGUCUGAGAGGAUGACCAGCCACACUGGAACUGAGACACGGUCCAGACUCCUACGGGAGGCAGCAGUGGGGAAUAUUGCACAAUGGGCGCAAGCCUGAUGCAGCCAUGCCGCGUGUGUGAAGAAGGCCUUCGGGUUGUAAAGCACUUUCAGCGGGGAGGAAGGCGUUAAGGUUAAUAACCUUGGCGAUUGACGUUACCCGCAGAAGAAGCACCGGCUAACUCCGUGCCAGCAGCCGCGGUAAUACGGAGGGUGCAAGCGUUAAUCGGAAUUACUGGGCGUAAAGCGCACGCAGGCGGUCUGUCAAGUCGGAUGUGAAAUCCCCGGGCUCAACCUGGGAACUGCAUUCGAAACUGGCAGGCUAGAGUCUUGUAGAGGGGGGUAGAAUUCCAGGUGUAGCGGUGAAAUGCGUAGAGAUCUGGAGGAAUACCGGUGGCGAAGGCGGCCCCCUGGACAAAGACUGACGCUCAGGUGCGAAAGCGUGGGGAGCAAACAGGAUUAGAUACCCUGGUAGUCCACGCCGUAAACGAUGUCGAUUUGGAGGUUGUGCCCUUGAGGCGUGGCUUCCGGAGCUAACGCGUUAAAUCGACCGCCUGGGGAGUACGGCCGCAAGGUUAAAACUCAAAUGAAUUGACGGGGGCCCGCACAAGCGGUGGAGCAUGUGGUUUAAUUCGAUGCAACGCGAAGAACCUUACCUGGUCUUGACAUCCACAGAACUUUCCAGAGAUGGAUUGGUGCCUUCGGGAACUGUGAGACAGGUGCUGCAUGGCUGUCGUCAGCUCGUGUUGUGAAAUGUUGGGUUAAGUCCCGCAACGAGCGCAACCCUUAUCCUUUGUUGCCAGCGGUUCGGCCGGGAACUCAAAGGAGACUGCCAGUGAUAAACUGGAGGAAGGUGGGGAUGACGUCCAGUCAUCAUGGUCCCUUUCAACCGGGGGUACACCCCUUCUACAAUGGGCUUUUACAAAAAGAAGCGACCUCCCCGGGAACCACCCGCCCUCCAAAAUAUUUCUUAUUCCCGAAUGUGAGUUUGCAACUCGCACUCCUCGAAGUCGGAAUCGCUAGUAAUCGUA